UACAGAGGGGGCAAGCGUUGUUCGGAAUUACUGGGCGUAAAGGGCGCGUAGGCGGCCUGCUAAGUCGAACGUGAAAUCCCUGGGCUCAACCCAGGAACUGCGUCCGAUACUGGUUGGCUUGAAUCCGGGAGAGGGACGUGGAAUUCCAGGUGUAGCGGUGAAAUGCGUAGAUAUCGGGAGGAACACCAGCGGCGAAGGCGGCAAACUGGAUAGGCACUGACACUCAACAACGAAAGCGUGGGGAGCAAACAGG
rnacentral:rRNA from 1 species